GAUGAACGCUGGCGGCGUGCCUAAUACAUGCAAGUAGAACGCAGUUGCGAACGGGUGAUUAACGCGUAGGUAACUGCCUGGUAGCGGGGGAUAACUAUGGGAAACGAUAGCUAAUACCGCAUCCUACCAGAUGGACCUGCGUUGUAUUAGCUAGUUGGUGAGGUAACGGCUCACCAAGGCAACGAUACAUAGCCGAGCUGAGAGGUUGAUCGGCCCACAUGGGACUGAGACAAGGCCCAGAAUCCUACGGGAGGCAGCAGUAGGGAAUCUUUGGCAAUGGGGGGAAACCUGACCGAGCAACGCCGCGUGAGUGAAGAAGGUUUUCGGAUCGUAAAGCUCUGUUGUUAAGGAAGCGUUACUUGACCAGAAAGGGACGGCUAACUACGUGCCAGCAGCCGCGGUAAUAC
rnacentral:rRNA from 1 species